CGAACGCUGGCGGCGUGCUUAACACAUGCAAGUCGAACGGUGAAGCGCCUUCCUUUUUGGUGGGUGUGGAUGAGUGGCGAACGGGUGAGUAACACGUGAGUAACCUGCCCCCUUCUUCUGGAUAACCGCAUGAAAGUGUGGCUAAUACGGGAUAUUCUGGGUCUGUCGCAUGAUGGGUCUGGGAAAGAUAUUGUUUCGGUGGGGGAUGGGCUCGCGGCCUAUCAGCUUGUUGGCGGGGUGAUGGCCUACCAAGGCGGUGACGGGUAGCCGGCCUGAGAGGGUGGACGGUCACACUGGGACUGAGACACGGCCCAGACUCCUACGGGAGGCAGCAGUGGGGAAUAGUGCACAAUGGGCGCAAGCCUGAUGCAGCGACGCCGCGUGAGGGAUGGAGGCCUUCGGGUUGUGAACCUCUUUCGCCAGUGAAGCAGGCCUGCCUCGUUUGUGGGUGGGUUGACGGUAGCUGGAUAAGAAGCGCCGGCUAACUACGUG
rnacentral:rRNA from 1 species